GAGGGUAUAGCUCAAGUGGUAGAGGGCAUGCUUAGCAUGCAUGAGGUUCUGGGUUCAAUCCCCAGUACCUCCU
rnacentral:tRNA from 1 species